AACGAACGCUGGCGGCAUGCCCAACACAUGCAAGUCGAACGAGACCUUCGGGUCUAGUGGCGCACGGGUGCGUAACGCGUGGGAACCUGCCCUUAGGUUCGGAAUAACUCCCCGAAAGGGGUGCUAAUACCGGAUAAUGUCUUCGGACCAAAGAUUUAUCGCCUUUGGAUGGGCCCGCGUUGGAUUAGCUAGUUGGUAGGGUAAAAGCCUACCAAGGCGACGAUCCAUAGCUGGUCUGAGAGGAUGAUCAGCCACACUGGGACUGAGACACGGCCCAGACUCCUACGGGAGGCAGCAGUGGGGAAUAGUGGACAAUGGGCGAAAGCCUGAUCCAGCAAUGCCGCGUGAGUGAUGAAGGCCUUAGGGUUGUAAAGCUCUUUUACCCGGGAUGAUAAUGACAGUACCGGGAGAAUAAGCUCCGGCUAACUCCGUG
rnacentral:rRNA from 1 species